AACGAACGCUGGCGGCAGGCCUAACACAUGCAAGUCGAGCGAAGCCUUCGGGCUUAGCGGCGGACGGAUGAGUAACGCGUGGGAACGUGCCCUUUGGUACGGAAUAGCCCCGGGAAACUGGGAGUAAUACCGUAUGUGGUCGAGAGACGAAAGAUUUAUCGCCAAAGGAUCGGCCGCGUUGGAUUAGGUAGUUGGUGGGGUAAUGGCCUACCAAGCCGACGAUCCAUAGCUGGUUUGAGAGGAUGAUCAGCCACACUGGGACUGAGACACGGCCCAGACUCCUACGGGAGGCAGCAGUGGGGAAUCUUAGACAAUAGGGGAAACCCUGAUCUAGCCAUGCCGCGUGAUCGAUGAAGGCCUUAGGGUUGUAAAGAUCUUUCAGUGGGGAAGAUAAUGACUGUACCCACAGAAGAAGCCCCGGCUAACUCCGUGCCAGCAGCCGCAGUAAGAC
rnacentral:rRNA from 1 species